GGGGUCGCUAUCUUCGAAAUGUUAAGUUACACGUGUAAAGAUUUUUCUUUUGUUGUGAUCGAAAUAUGUCGAAUUGUCCUUUCAAAUGAAAAUACUGGCAUCUUUCAUGGAAUCUCGUAGACAUAGUACGUGGAAUCUCAAAUUUUUGUAUAAAUAUCAGUCAGAACCCAGGAGUUUUUAACAUUGAUUUAAAAAGUUUUCAGCUUUAAACAUCAUAAAAAGUUUCAACUUGAUUUAAAAUGAGUUAUUCUGGUGCUUUAUAUUCCAAUACCUUCAUACUUUAGCUAUAAAAUGUCGAGUACACUCCAAACUUCUGAAGACAUACAAGAAUAUCUUUUUGAUUUUGAAUCAGAUGAUGGAAAUAUGUAUAUACUUACAUCAUCUGAUGGUGAACCAUCAGAUGAUGUGAAGCAGAUGUAGGCCUACCAUGCACAAGGGCAAGCGCUGGACCUUCUAACCUCGCGGGUAUAACUGGAUAGAAGUUGCGGAGUUUUCUGCUCCUCCCUUUCCCCUUCCAGGGGAAUAUAUCUGGAGCAAGAGUAAUUUCUGAACGAAAUUCUGAACUGGAUAUAUUUGAAGUGUUAUUCACUGAAGAAAACAUCUGUAUAAUUACAGAAGAAACGAAUCGUUAUUUUGAACAGGUCAGUGCAAAAAUUUACUAUUUCCUAACAUACGGGAUUCUUGGAAACAAACAACAACUACAGAAAUAAUGUUAUUUUUUGGACUAUGCAUGCUAAUGGGGAGUGUUUCAAAAAAUUCUAUUGGUGACUAUUGGCAUAGUAAUCCGAAAAUUUCAAUGCCGUUUUUCUGAAACUAUGUCCAGAAAUAGAUUUGAGCUUCUGUUUACAAUGCUUCGUUUUGUAAACAUUUGAACACUAAAUCCAGAAAAUCGACUUUCUAAACUUGGAAAUAUAUUCAAAAAUCUAAAACCCUCCUGGAAAACAUAUUUAUUUCCGUACAAAAAUGUAUGCUUUUUCUUUGGAAAGGACGACUUUUGUUCAGACAAUAUAUCCCUUUAAAACGUUUUUAUUUUGGAAUAAAAUUGUAUGCUUUAGCUGAUUGUAAAACAAAAUUUGUUUUGGAGAUCAUAAUAUGCACUGAAAAAACGACAGAAAUUCUGGAUAGAUAUAAAGCUUUCAGACACUCUGGAAGUGUAGUACUUACGCUCCUUGAGUAUAUUAUAGCAGAAACCAUAAAUUGUAUAUAGACAGUUAUUAUACUUCAUCUGAACUUCACUUUUGUUUGAGAAUAGAGGGAAUUGAAUCAUGCGGAACUGUCCAGAAAAACAGGAAGAAUUUCCCAAAUGAUAAAAAAAAUUAGUUUGAGGAGAAGUGACCCAUUUUUCAUACGGACAGCAUGUUAUAUGAACGAUGGGUGGAUAAGAGAGAGGUGAGAAUGUUGUCAAAUUUUCUCCCAAACGAAAUGGAAACUGAGACAUUAACUUCAACAUUAACAAGAAAUACCAUAAAGCCACUAAGAAAAUAUAAUGAAAAUAUGGGGCAGUAAAUAAUCUUGAUGCAGUCCUCAGUUACAAUCAAACUCCCAGAUAAACCAUUAAAUGGUACAAAAAGCUAUUUUUUCAUUUUCUGGAUAUAUGUACAGUACAUAUAAUUCUUUCAUUUUGUAUAAAGAUAAGCAUCUAAAAAAUAUUGACAUUUGUCGAAAUUUAGACACGAACUAAUACAACAAAUUGUAGAAAAAUACAGAGAGGAAGCCCCAGCAACUAUGAAAGUCUGAAUAGACUAAAAAUAGAGAAACAUUUCCUUUCUCUUAUUCUACCCACUGAAAAUAAUAAAAAUCCCUAUAAAAGAUGCCACGUUUGUGGAAACUCAAAAGUUAACCUGAGAAGACUUGUUCAAACCCGGUAUGAGUGUAAAAAAAUGUAAUGUUGCGCUAUGCAUUACUCCUUGUAUUGAGAUAUAUCAUAAGAAAAUUGUGUUUGAGUUGUAUUUUAUUUUUUUAUUUACUUUGUAUUAACAUGAUAUUGUAUAUAUGUUAUUAUCUUUUUUUCUUUUUUGUUUACUUUUUUACAUUAUAAAUGAAUAAAUAAUAAAAGUAUGUCAACAAAGGGUUUUUAAGAUUAUUUUUCAUUUAUGAUUAAGUAAUGCUAACCAAAAGUUAGAAGUAAAGCUAGUUUAUUCACUGGAUAAUUAAUGGCAAGUCUGAAUGCCGUAACCUCAGUCACAUUAUUAAAUAUUAUCCAAUAUGUCGUGGAAAAAAUAUCAGAAGCAAUCAGUAAGAGAAAAGAAACAGUAUAUAAAUUCUCUUCCACGAUAAUAAAUCUUAUAUGAAGUAAAUAUAUACAAUUGAACCUGAGAGUCUCGAUUUAAUGGGAAUGAGAAAAAUUGAAUAUAUAGAUGUUCCAGUACAGUAAACAAUAAUAUACUUGAAUGCAGGUACGGUGUUUCACUGAUGCAAUAGCAAGUACAGUACACACUUGUAUUAGAUGUAAAUGAAACUAUUUGUGGUAUAUUUAAACAGAAGCCGUUUGUCAAUAGUUUGUAAUGCCCGACUUUCUUUAACCAGUAUGACGCAAGCCAAACUGGUAGCCAGAGAAAAACCGCAUUAAUUGUAACAGAUAUAUCUUAUGGUAUCACAACAUGGUCGCUGAUCUUUGAAUUUGUAAUUGACACUUCAGUUCAUAAUUUGAAACAGAGGUACAUAUAAGAAUGUGCAUAUAAACAUUUUAAUAUUUACUUUAUAACAUUUUGUAAACAUAACAUUUUACAAUUGUAAUAUCUGUUAUUGUAUGGAAACACUUAAUA